rnacentral:rRNA from 1 species
GACGAACGCUGGCGGCGUGCCUAAUACAUGCAAGUAGGACGCAGUUGCGAACGGGUGAGUAACGCGUAUGUAACUGUCCAUUUGAGGGGGAUAACUAUUUGAAACGAUAGCUCAUACCGCAUACUAGUUGAUGGACCUGCGGUGUAUUAGGUAGUAGGUUGGGUAAUGGCCUACCUAGCCGACGAUACAUAGCCGAACUGAGAGGGUGAUCGGGCAAAAUGGGAAUGGGAAACGGCCCAGAAUCCUAAGGGAGGCAGCAGUAGGGAAUCUUCGGCAAUGGGGGGAACCCUGAACGAGCAACGGCGCGUGAGUGAAGAAGGUUUUCGGAUCGUAAAGCUCUGUUGUUAAGGAAGCGGUACUUAACCAGAAAGGGACGGCUAACUACGUGCCAGCCGCCGCGGUAAUUC